UGAUUGGCUGUAGUAUUAACUGUAAAGUGUUUUGAAACAGUCUGAUUGGACCCUCUUUCUAUUCCAGGAACGACUACAGAAACUGGAGACGGAGAAGAAUAAAGUAUUAAAGAGCACAUCAACUCAAGCAACGGCACCUGAAGAAACAAAGGUGGAUAGAGAGAAGGUCCAGAGGCUGCUGGAGGAUCUGUGGGUGUGUGUAGCUCCUCCCUCAUCACACCUCCCUGCCAGGAGAAAACAGCAGUUAAAGGAGCACCUACAGGACAGCAGCAUAGUUGAACCCCACAGACCUGACGGUGACCCGCCAGGCCCCGGACCCAGCA